GGUGGUGGUAGUACAGUUAAUAAUGUACAUCAGACUUCUGAGCAGAAGGUCGUGAGUUCAAAUCCCAGCACCACCA